GGGAAGGUGGCUCAGUGGUUGAGCACUUGCCUUGCAUGCAUGAGGCCCUGGCUUCCAUUCCU
rnacentral:tRNA from 1 species